rnacentral:lncRNA from 1 species
AUUAUUAUUAAUGUAGAUUAAUAAUCUAUUAUUAAUAGAUUUGCAUUAUUAAUCAAAAUAACGUAACGAUUAAAAUACAAAAUAGAACAGAAGAGCUAAAUGAAAUGCAGCCAUCUACAGCCCAGCCCCAAUUCCCAGAGGCAGCUACUCUUAACUCAUCUUUGUGGUUUAGUUCCCUUGAUUUAAUUAAAUAACAUGUUUAUUAAUUUUACCUAUUAUUUACUACAUUAAAUAACCUCUAUUGGCUUCCUGCUAAAAUGCAUGCUAAUUUAUAUAACAUACAAUACCCUAAUUCUCUUUACUGCCUCCUCCUAGAAUGUUGACAGCUAUAUUAUAACGUAAGCUGCUGCAACGUAUUUCUGCAAUAUCCAUUGUUUCAUACGAUGUUGGUACUUAGAGGAAUAAGGUUAGUGUUAAUAUGGAAAUUGUUCAUACUUAUUUUUUCUCCAUAGGAAGGGGGAGGUAGAAAAGCAGGAGGAGAACCAUAACAAGAGAAAAAAGCGCUCCAGUCUCCGCUAUACCGGCAGGAAGCACUUUCAGCUCCAGUUUUAAGAAAAUUAAUUUUGAACACCUGGAGAAUAUUGACAUAUGAACAUUAGAGAAGAUGUAUGAAAUCAACUUGAUGAAAAUGAAAGGAAAAUAUAUCAUCUAUUUUCCAACUACUGAGAUUGAUAAAAGAAGCCUCCCGGAUGUGAGAAAUCUGCUUUAGCAAAUAUGUUCUAUAUAUAUUUGAGACACAUAAUUGCAAACAUCCAAUAGCAUAACAACAAUUAACUAGAUACAUACAUUUUGGAAGGAGAAAAGACAUUGAAUA